UGCCAGCCGCCGCGGUAAGACGGAGGGGGCUAGCGUUGUUCGGAUUUACUGGGCGUAAAGGGCGCGUAGGCUGUCAUGUGUGUCAGGGGUGAAAUCCCGAGGCUUAACCUCGGAAUUGCUCUUGAAACUGCAUGACUUGAGUAUCGAAGGGGCAAGUGGAAUUCCGAGUGUAGUAGUGAAAUGCGUAGAUAUUCGGAGGAACACCAGAGGCGAAGGCGACUUGCUGGUCGAUAACUGACGUUGAGGCGCGAAAGCGUGGGGAGCAAACAGGAUUAGAUA
rnacentral:rRNA from 1 species